AAUCAGGGUAAUAAGCACAUCCAUCUCCUCAAUCAUUAAUCACUUUUAUGUGUUGGGAACCUUCAAACUCUUCUAAUUAUUUUGGAAUAUAUCAUAGAUUGCCAUGACUAAUAGUUACCCUGUUGUUCUAUGGAAAACCAGAACUAAUUCUUUCUAUCUAACUAUGCUUUGUUGCCCCUUAUUAGGCUUCUCUCUGUGCAUUUUCCCUCCCAUCCCACACUCCAGUGACCACUGUUCCAUUCCAUUCUUCUAUGGGAUUGGCUUUUUAGUUUCCACAAAUGAGGGAGAACAUGCCAGCUCAUAAGAUUCUUGCUUUAACAUGUACUCUGUAAACCAAGUGGUCAUUUCAGGUUGUGUUCACUCCGUUACGCAUUCAUUGAUUCUUCUUUCACCCUUUUAUGUACUUCUUAAUUCGGCAAAUAUUUCCUAAGCAGCAGAGAUCUCCUCCAUCCCUCAGAUCAAUCAGUUCCCAUCCCAACUCUGCACUAAGUCACCCAUGGAGGCCAAGGGAAAAUGAUUUCUCUUUCAGCAUCAGCUUCUCAAGAGACUGGACAACGUCUCUAAGGCUCCUUUCAUACUAGGUUCUAUUUUACGUCCAUCUUCUUUACUACAUGCCAGGAGGACACCUAGAUGCCUAGGGAUGGUUCUUGCCUUAGCAAAGCCCAUAGUCAAGUGAGGAAAACACAAUAACUGGUGUGUAUGACUCCCCCAUGCUGGACUAUAGCAUAUGUCACCUAAAAAAGUUUUAUUUAUCAAAUAAAUUUGAUGUGGCUCCCAUGUGCCAGGAUUGGCAGGAAAGUAGUUUUUCACCACAUUCUGUGGGCUCAACCCCUCUCCCAAAUGGUCAAUCAUGCACAAGAACCUUUCCAUAGAGUUGGAAAGUGGUGGCCCUUGAGCCCAAUGAAGC
rnacentral:lncRNA from 1 species